GACGUAGGGCGCGAGCGUUGUCCGGAUUUAUUGGGCGUAAAGAGCUCGUAGGCGGCUCAUUGCGUCAACCGUGAAAACCAGCAGCUCAACUGUUGGCUUGCGGUUGAUACGGGUGGGCUGGAGUUCGGUAGGGGAGACUGGAAUUCCUGGCGUAGCGGUGAAAUGCGCAGAUAUCAGGAGGAACACCGGUGGCGAAGGCGGGUCUCUGGGCCGAUACUGACGCUGAGGAGCGAAAGCGUGGGGAGCGAACAGG
rnacentral:rRNA from 1 species